rnacentral:rRNA from 1 species
GAUGAACGCUGGCGGCGUGCCUAAUACAUGCAAGUCGAGCGAACAGACGAGGAGCUUGCUCCUCUGACGUUAGCGGCGGACGGGUGAGUAACACGUGGAUAACCUACCUAUAAGACUGGGAUAACUUUGGGAAACCGGAGCUAAUACCGGAUAAUAUAUUGAACCGCAUGGUUCAAUAGUGAAAGACGGUUUUGCUGUCACUUAUAGAUGGAUCCGCGCCGCAUUAGCUAGUUGGUAAGGUAACGGCUUACCAAGGCGACGAUGCGUAGCCGACCUGAGAGGGCGAGACGACAGACGGAGGUAUAGGACAGAGUGAGAAGCAGACGGGAGGCAGCAGGAGGGGAGCGUGAGGAAGGGGAGAGAGUCGGAAGUAGAUAAGAUGAGGGAGAGAAGAAGGAUUGAGGAUCGUAAAACUCUGGUACGAGGGAAGAAAAGAGAGCCACGAACUAUUGAAGGCAAUGAGGGUAGCUAACAAGAAAGCCACGGAGAAUCUCAGG